GUACAUUCGUAUAUAAUCAAAUAAAUGUCAUUCCUUCACUACCAGGAAUUUACGUCGCGUUUACAUGUACUUUUAAGGCAGCUCUCUCUCUCUCUCUCUAGAUAUAUACAUAUACAAUAUUGGUAUAAGGACUUUUAAUAACUGGUGUAUGCACUUUGUUUUCCAGAUAAUUAUGGUAAGAAAAAAGUCGUUUUAGGUUUUUUUUUUAAACUGAAGAUUUUAGUAAUUUAUCAGUAUUGUACAUUUUAAUAAAAAAAAAACUAAAGAUAUGGUAUAUCCAUUCAUGACACAAAAAUCAUUUCGAGCACAUCAAAACACAUACAAAAAACAAAGAAACAACUCUUUUAAAGCUGAUUCCGCCUCAAUUUAGCUAUUCUUGUUACUGAAAAUUUGAACAAAAUUAAAAGACUUCCUUUUCUGCAUUGGCUAGAGGCAUAGGGGGAGGGUUGAGAUCUCACAAACAUGUUUAACCCCGCCGCAUUUUAGCGCCUGUACCAAGUCGGGAGCCUCUGGCCUUUAUUAGUCUUGUAUUAUUUUGACUUUUAGAUUCUUGUGUACAAUUUGGAGUUUAGUAUGGUGUUCAUUAUUCACUGAACUAGUAUAUUUUGUUUAGAGGCCAGCUGAAGGACGCCUCCAGGUACGGGAAUUUCUCGUUGCAUUGAAUACCUGUUGGUGACCUUCUGCUGUUGUCUGCUCUAUGGUCGGGUUGUUGUCUCUUUGGCACAUUCCCCAUUUCCAUUCUCAAUUUUAUUUUUAUUGUAUCUUAAAGAAUGUUGAACCCCGAUUUCCAAGAUUUCUUUACAAAUGUGACCCAAUAAUGAAGAACUUAAUGCAAUAAUAUUUCCGAAAAAGAGAUUUAAAAAAAAAAAAACAAUUGCUUCAGUUUUUGCUUUUUUAUUCUAUUUUUUAUUUUAGUUUGUUUGUUUGCUUUAUUUUGUAUUUGUGGUUAUGACUAUUUUAUUUUUAUCAUCUGAUCAAUUGUCAAACAGAUUAAGGUUAAUUUCAUGUACACAAAUAUCAAAAUUCUCAUUUCCAAAUUGUGUUUGUCGGAUGUGAUUCUUCAGUAAGGGCCUUGUAGCAUAAUUUCAAAUUCUUUUUCGGUGUUACCAGAUAAUUAUGAUUUAUUGUUUUCGUCGUGGAUAAAUCAAAUCCGGGUUACAAACUAAAGUUAGAACCUUAUUAAAAAAGUAUCUAAAAUGAUAUAAAAUUAAUGCAUUGGUCAAUCGAAUUCACAGCUCUGAUUUCCAGUCAUACUUUAACCAUUUUUUUGUUCUUGUUUGUCUUUUUCUGUUCUUAAACGUUAAAGAUUGAAGACGGAUUUGGAUUCACAAAUAUUUUAGAACAAUAAUCAUGAUGCAUUCUUUGUCAAAAUGCACAUAUGGUGCAGACUAAUUGGUACGGUUUCAUAUUAUUUAUCGAAUGGUACCAAACUAUUGUAAGUACACGCAAUGCCCAUUCGCGUUGUUUGUUAUACUUUAAUCCCUUUUUGUGACUCUGUUCUUCAAUUUUGCGUGCGUUUAUUGUUGAUGUUUAAAAUAACAAAAGAUUAAUUAGAAUGAUGGUUUUAAUUCAUUUACACUUAAAUUUGAUCUUUUGUGGAAGGUUGAUUAAGCUUUGAACCCCGGUAUAACCAACAAUUUUCUUCAUGAAUUUGACAACUGUUUUCCAUUCGUUCCGUUAGAUAUUGUCGAGUGCUAGAUUUUGUCUUGUCUAGUUUCCUGGACUUGCCCCAAUUUCGAUUUGCGUUGUAGUUCGAUACUUUUGUAAAACUUUUCUACGGGAAGUAUAAUUUCUAUAUGCAUUUUGCUGAAAUUUACCAUUUCAUACACAUUAUAAAAGUUGCAAUUUCAAUUAAAUGGACACGAGUAUUAUAUUUCCCGGUUCAGUUAAGUGUGAAUAAUUCUUAUUAAGAAACUAAAAUUUGGACUGAUAUAUUUGUUUGGACUUCAUGAAUUCUUCAAAAAUGUGUCAUUUUCAGGAAGAGUUGUUUCUUUAUUAUAAAAGUACAGAUAUAUAUAUGAUAAUAUCAAAAUACCGGAAUAACAUUUUAACUUCGUUUACUAUGUUAAUUUCCGUCCACUGAUUUUGGGUGUACUUACAAAACAGACGCCUUUUUGAUCGUUUUGUAAUGUUUUGUUUUAUAAUAAUAUUAACUUUUUUGCUAUCUAUAUUCUCAAUGUCCUUAUGUGGCACGCAUUUUCCCCUCUUUAAUUGUUUUUGGUUACAUUGCGUAGUGUCUAAUGUGUUCGCUUAUUCUAGUUUUCAAUAGAUAUCUGCUGAACUAUUUGCAUUUUUUAAAUUUCAUCGACAGUGGAAGAUUAUUCUCCCUUAAAAAGCAUGUUUUAAAAUUCGGUGGGUUAUAUCUUAACAUAUUUAAUUUGUUUUUGUAUUAAAUUUCAGUAUUUUAAUCAAUAUCAAAUUUUAAAAGCCUAUUUCAGAUGUCAGUUCUUAUUGUCCAGCGUACAACAUUUCCCUUUAUUUUGCAGACUUUCAUGAUCUAUUAAUUUGUUUAAAAUUAAAUAGUGGUAUCAUCACAAUGUUAUUUUGAUGAGGAUGAAUAUGAUCUAUUUUCAUUUUUACUUCUACGUUUUACAUGGUAACAAAUUAGAAAUUUACAGCACUUGGCAAAUGAUUAAAAUUCUGUUUAUACAGAUUCGUGAUCCUCAACAUAACGGUAAACAGAUAAAACGUAAUUACAAUCCUUAUUAUAUCUAAAUUUUAAAAAGACAAACCAAGGACCGACUGUUACGUAAUCAUUCAGUAGUUUUAAACAUAUUUGUUUACAGUUCAUAUUUCUAAAAAGAGAAAUAGAGCCAUCCGGUGCGUCAUGUAAGUGGAUAAGUUGUUGAUGUUCAUUUGCAUGUGAUAUAAGUAGUAUAAAUAAAGUGUUUUAAACCAAAUACAUAUUAAGCCAUUGAGGUCUACAAAAUACACAUUUUAGAGGUCCUUGAAGACUACAUACAGCAAACUCUGAGAUGGAAACUAAAUAUCUACUUAUGCUUUUGAUUGCUCUUUAUACUGUUUUUAUGUAUACAGUUGAUGCACUGCAAUCUGUCAUCGAACCAUCAAAUAUUCCAGGAUCAAGCUGUAAGUUAUUCUUAAAUGUUUCAUUAUUAAUAAGUUAUUAACGUAAAUUUGAUUGUAUACCUUAAACAGCAAUGAGAUUCAAAUAAUGAAAUUUAUUUACAACAUUGCAUGCGUUUGAAACACUUAAAUCGUUUAAUCAAUUGGGCUAUUUGAUUUAAGUUUACAAUGACAACAAUGAUGGAAAGCCUUGUCGUAGUUUUCCUCUUAUAUUUGAUGUCCUCCCCUCAGUUUUAGUUUGUAACCCGGAUUUGUUUUUUUUUUCUCAAUCGAUUUAUGAAUUUCGAACAGCGGUAUACUUCUGUUGCCUUUAUUUAUGUAUCAUGUUCGAUAGUCAUAUAUUUUAUCGAGAAAAAUAACCUUUCAGGGCUUGGAUGAAUAAGUAUGAAAAACAUAAUUAUAAAUGAAACGGAUAAUUCAAAACUAUGUAAAAUAUACUUAUUUUACGAUAUAUUUGGUGACUAUGUUGAACGCAUCUAUCCCAUCGAACUAGAGAUAAAGGAUAAAAAAAACAUACAGUUAAGCCUCCCUCAAAUCUUGACUAACAUCUCGAAUUUGACAAUGAGGGUCGUUUUAAAACAAAACUUUACAACAAAAGAGACGAUUUCAGCUUCCAAAUUGUGAUGGUUCCAUUUCUAUGUAGCAAUAUUCCAGCUGCGCCUGCAUACGGAGAGUAUAUCUCCCAAAUUGAUACGGUAAUCCCAGUAUUAUUUUUCCUGUUAUGAUUGACUUGAUAUAGGGUUUCUGCUCACAUAUAAGCGAUUUAACCAAGAGUUCCAAAUGGUGAAGUUGACCAUUAUGCAAUAUCCGUUUCACAGUUAAUAUCGGAUAUGGUUAUGUCGUCGUAACUACAAUCACGUUCCUUUUUCACAAAUGUGUUAACCUAAUGAAUAAGACAAUUUAAUGUGUUUUAAUAACACGAGCAACACGACUGGAGCUACAUGUUGGGCAGGAUCUGCUUACCCUUCCAGAGCAACUGAGAUCACCCCAGUUUAUGUUGGGGUUAGUAUUGUUUAGUCUUUAGUUUUCUACUUUGUGUCUUGUGUACUGUUGUUUGUCGUUCGUAGUUUCCUUUUUAGCCAUGGCGUUGUUAAUUUAUUUUCGAUCUAUUAGUUUGAAUGUUCCUCUUGUAUCUUUCGUUCCUCUAAUAUUAAUGUGUAAAAUAUUUUGUAUUUUCAGAUUGUGGAAAAGGUAGAAGAGUAAUAGGACAAUAUACCGUGGGUGUGAACUAAAGCAUACUUUUUUUCAUAUGUUCAAAAUAGUUGAACAUGAACAUUAAUAGAAGGUUCAAGUAAGACGUUCUACAACAUUGUAGAUGAUGCAACACAUCGAAAUCGUGAAAUCGAGGGAGACAUAAAAUCUACACCAGUAACCACAUUAUGCAAGGGAUACAUUACAUUCUGCUGAUAUAAGAUUUUUUUUUUAUAAGAGUUGUUUUAUAUAACUAUAGAAUAGAAUAACUAUGAGUUGCUGGUAUACCGAAUAGCUUAGUAUAACGAAGAGAAUAAAGAAAAUAAAAGUAAAA
rnacentral:lncRNA from 1 species